ensembl:snRNA U6 U6 spliceosomal RNA
UUGCUUCAGCAGCAUAUAUAGUAAAAUUGGAGCGAUACAGAGAAUAGCAUUGCCCCUGUGCAAAGAUGACAUGUAAACACCAACAACAGAACUAAAGAAAG